CACAUGACUCUCGGCAACGGAUAUCUCGGCUCUCGCAUCGAUGAAGAACGUAGCAAAAUGCGAUACCUGGUGUGAAUUGCAGAAUCCCGUGAACCAUCGAGUUUUUGAACGCAAGUUGCGCCCGAGGCCUUGUGGUCGAGGGCACGUCUGCCUGGGCGUCACGC
rnacentral:rRNA from 1 species